rnacentral:rRNA from 1 species
GACGAACGCUGGCGGCGUGCUUAACACAUGCAAGUCUAACGGUAAGGCCCUUCGGGGUACACGAGUGGCGAACGGGUGAGUAACACGUGGGUGAUCUGCCCUGCACUUCGGGAUAAGCCUGGGAAACUGGGUCUAAUACCGGAUAGGACCACUGCCUGCAUGGGUGGGGGUGGAAAGCUUUUGCGGUGUGGGAUGGGCCCGCGGCCUAUCAGCUUGUUGGUGGGGUGAUGGCCUACCAAGGCGACGACGGGUAGCCGGCCUGAGAGGGUGACCGGCCACACUGGGACUGAGAUACGGCCCAGACUCCUACGGGAGGCAGCAGUGGGGAAUAUUGCACAAUGGGCGCAAGCCUGAUGCAGCGACGCCGCGUGAGGGAUGACGGCCUUCGGGUUGUAAACCUCUUUCAGCACCGACGAAGCGCAAGUGACGGUAGGUGCAGAAGAAGGACCGGCCAACUACGUGCCAGCCGCCGCUGUAA